GCCAGACUUGGAACCGGGAGAGGUAAGAGGUACUACAGGGUAGGAGUGAAAUCUUGUAAUCCCUGUGGGACCACCUGUGGCGAAGGCGUCUUACCAGAACGGGUUCGACGGUGAGGACGAAAGCUGGGGGCACGAACCGGAUUAGAUACCCGGGUAGUCCCAGCCGUAAACGAUGCUCGCUAGGUGUCAGGCAUGGCGCGACCGUGUCUGGUGCCGCAGGGAAGCCGUGAAGCGAGCCACCUGGGAAGUACGGCCGCAAGGCUGAAACUUAAAGGAAUUGGCGGGGGAGCACAACAACGGGUGGAAGCCUGCGGUUUAAUUGGACUCAACGCCGGACAACUCACCGGGGGCGACAGCAAUAUGUAGGCCAAGCUGAAGACUUUGCCUGAAUCGCUGAGUGGAGGUGCAUGG
rnacentral:rRNA from 1 species